CCCCAAGCUAAGCUCUCGGCUCUUGCUGAACAGCUGAAGACAACCCCCAAGAAUCGGAGAUGAACGAGAGGCCUCUUCACUCCAUGGCAGAACCAGGCUAAGCUAGUUCUAGCAGCAAGAACACCCCAACCAAAGAGAGCACGUUCAGUUGAGAGGAAUGGUGCUUGUCAAGAGGAGGAGGGAGAGGCAGCAGCUUGAUUUAAGAACGAGAAGAUAUGUGUGCAAUGGCAUUGCAAAUGCAUUGCAGCAGCAACGACGACUGGUAUGGCUGGUCCUACGGAGGCCACAGCAAAUGAGCAAAUACAAUACUGUGCAAGGCACAUGUGGGCUGAUCAUUGUGGGCAUGGGCAUGUGAUGCCUGUCAGGCUUUUGCACCGUCGUCGUCGUCAUCGCCCGUCAGAUCAGAUUCAGCCUAGAUCGAUCAGAGCCUGCCACUGCCAGUGUUAAGGAAGGAAUGCAGACCUGUCCCCGGGUCCCACAUUCCGACCCCGGUUAUAUAUACAGAACAAUGCUAGAGCGGUUGGUCAAUCUGGUGGUUAAGCCAUUCAAUCUUCCUGUGAAGAAGAAGAAAAGGGGAAGAUUGGAGACGAAGGAAGAUUCAGCUACAUAUCCCUGGUUCCAGAGCGGCGCGUGUGGCAGAGAGCAUGUGCCGGUUCUACAUAUGAGAUAUAUAAUCUAAGCUUGCUUCUGGACGUGGAUCACGUUAGCAGCAAUCCACUACACCACCACCAUGAACUGUUUGUUUUAGCUGCGGUCAGAACGGCCGGGCCAUGCUCAAUGUUCAGACUUCUACGGCCUCAGCUGAUCACCACCAAACGAUGUGGAUGCUCUGCAUGCCCCCACAGGCAACCACCCGAAGAUUUGUUACUCCGGGUUUUGCCGCUCCAUGUGGCACUGACAUGUGGGUCCUUAAAGGUGUUACAUGUGGGUCCUUAAAGGUAUUACAGGUAGUCGGUGGUAGCGAGACGGUCUGUUUGAUUAGGAUGAUGGUGGAAAAGAAAAAAAAGGGAUAGAUUUGCUUGAACGAUGAUGAUAGGGUGUGUAUGCCUGGGCCCUCGCAUGUUUGCGGAUGCAGGAGCAUGCAAAUGGAAGGUUGGCACUAUUUUUCGGAUGAGUUGUAAGCGCUGUACUUGAGCAAUUUGAUGGGUGAGCUGUGUUAGACUGUUAGGCAUCUGGUUUUUGCAAAAGGACAACUUGAUCAACGUGCUGUUUGCUGUUCGGUCAUCUGUUGCAAGAGCAAUUUGAUCAGUGUAGGCCACGAGGUUAAUUCAUUCUGCAAUUAAUCUCUCUCUGUAUGGAACCACUGUUCAGUCAUCUGUUUACUGUAGAUCCCCGUACUACUCACUCAUUGUGGCACCGCGUUUGCCACCUCAAUUUGAGGCGCCAUGUGUAAUGUAGCUAAGCCUAAUUAUACAGCUGGGUCCUUGACUCAAUUUGUAAAUGGCUGCCAAACAAUCCUAUCUCUCAGCUGGUUUAUCAGAUGAGGUCCAUGAGA